AGAGUUUGAUCCUGGCUCAGGACGAACGCUGGCGGCGCGCCUAACACAUGCAAGUCGAACGAGAGAGAGGGAGCUUGCUUCCUUGAUCGAGUGGCGAACGGGUGAGUAACGCGUGAGGAACCUGCCUCAAAGAGGGGGACAACAGUUGGAAACGACUGCUAAUACCGCAUAAGCCCACGGCUCGGCAUCGAGCAGAGGGAAAAGGAGCGAUCCGCUUUGAGAUGGCCUCGCGUCCGAUUAGCUAGUUGGUGAGGUAACGGCCCACCAAGGCAACGAUCGGUAGCCGGACUGAGAGGUUGAACGGCCACAUUGGGACUGAGACACGGCCCAGACUCCUACGGGAGGCA
rnacentral:rRNA from 1 species